rnacentral:rRNA from 1 species
AGAGUUUGAUCCUGGCUCAGGAUGAACGCUGACAGAAUGCUUAACACAUGCAAGUCAACUUGAACUUCGGUUUGGGUGGCGGACGGGUGAGUAACGCGUAAAGAACUUGCCUCACAGCUAGGGACAACAUUUGGAAACGAAUGCUAAUACCUGAUAUUAUGAUUUUAGGGCAUCCUAGAAUUAUGAAAGCUAUAUGCGCUGUGAGAGAGCUUUGCGUCCCAUUAGCUAGUUGGAGAGGUAACGGCUCACCAAGGCGAUGAUGGGUAGCCGGCCUGAGAGGGUGAUCGGCCACAAGGGGACUGAGACACGGCCCUUACUCCUACGGGAGGCAGCAGUGGGGAAUAUUGGACAAUGGACCAAGAGUCUGAUCCAGCAAUUCUGUGUGCACGAUGAAGUUUUUCGGAAUGUAAAGUGCUUUCAGUUGGGAAGAAAAAAAUGACGGUACCAACAGAAGAAGUGACGGCUAAAUACGUGCCAGCAGCCGCGGUAAUACGUAUGUCACAAGCGUUAUCCGGAUUUAUUGGGCGUAAAGCGCGUCUAGGUGGUUAUGUAAGUCUGAUGUGAAAAUGCAGGGCUCAACUCUGUAUUGCGUUGGAAACUGUGUAACUAGAGUACUGGAGAGGUAAGCGGAACUACAAGUGUAGAGGUGAAAUUCGUAGAUAUUUGUAGGAAUGCCGAUGGGGAAGCCAGCUUACUGGACAGAUACUGACGCUGAAGCGCGAAAGCGUGGGUAGCAAACAGGAUUAGAUACCCUGGUAGUCCACGCCGUAAACGAUGAGUGCUAAGUGUUGGUCUCAUAAGAGAUCAGUGCUGCAGCUAACGCAUUAAGCACUCCGCCUGGGGAGUACGACCGCAAGGUUGAAACUCAAAGGAAUUGACGGGGACCCGCACAAGCGGUGGAGCAUGUGGUUUAAUUCGACGCAACGCGAGGAACCUUACCAGCGUUUGACAUCUUAGGAAUGAGACAGAGAUGUUUCAGUGUCCCUUCGGGGAAACCUAAAGACAGGUGGUGCAUGGCUGUCGUCAGCUCGUGUCGUGAGAUGUUGGGUUAAGUCCCGCAACG